rnacentral:rRNA from 1 species
CCUUGACAUACUAAGAACUUUCCAGAGAUGGAUUGGUGCCUUCGGGAACUUAGAUACAGGUGCUGCAUGGCUGUCGUCAGCUCGUGUCGUGAGAUGUUGGGUUAAGUCCCGCAACGAGCGCAACCCUUUUCCUAUUUGCCAGCGGGUCAUGCCGGGAACUUUAAGGAUACUGCCAGUGACAAACUGGAGGAAGGCGGGGACGACGUCAAGUCAUCAUGGCCCUUACGGCCAGGGCUACACACGUGCUACAAUGGUCGGUACAAAGGGUUGCUACCUCGCGAGAGGAUGCUAAUCUCAAAAAGCCGAUCGUAGUCCGGAUCGCAGUCUGCAACUCGACUGCGUGAAGUCGGAAUCGCUAGUAAUCGCGGAUCAGAAUGCCGCGGUGAAUACGUUCCCGGGCCUUGUACACACCGCCCGUCACACCAUGGGAGUUUGUUGCACCAGAAGUAGGUAGUCUAACCGCAAGGAGGACGCUUACCACGGUGUGGCCGAUGACUGGGGUGAAGUCGUAACAAGGUAAGCGUAGAUGA